CAGAGUUUGAUCAUGGCUCAGGAUGAACGCUGGCGGCGUGCUUAACACAUGCAAGUCGAACGAAGCACUUUAUUUGAUUUCCUUCGGGACUAAUUAUUUUGUGACUGAGUGGCGGACGGGUGAGUAACGCGUGGGUAACCUGCCUUGUACAGGGGGAUAACAGUUGGAAACGGCUGCUAAUACCGCAUAAGCGCACAGCAUCGCAUGAUGCAGUGUGAAAAACUCCGGUGGUAUAAGAUGGACCCGCGUUGGAUUAGCUAGUUGGUGAGGUAACGGCCCACCAAGGCGACGAUCCAUAGCCGACCUGAGAGGGUGACCGGCCACAUUGGGACUGAGACACGGCCCAAACUCCUACGGGAGGCAGCAGUGGGGAAUAUUGCACAAUGGGCGAAAGCCUGAUGCAGCGACGCCGCGUGAGCGAAGAAGUAUUUCGGUAUGUAAAGCUCUAUCG
rnacentral:rRNA from 1 species